rnacentral:rRNA from 1 species
CAGCAGCCGCGGUAAUACCGGCGGCCCGAGUGGCGGUCACUAUUAUUGGGCUUAAAGCGUCCGUAGCCGGGUUGGGAAGUCCUCCGGGGAAUCUGGCCGCUUAACGGUCCGAAUGCCGGAGGAUACUCCCAGCCUAGGGAGCGGGGGAGGCCGAGGGGAUUCCCGGAGUAGGGGUGAAAUCCUAUAAUCCCGGGAGGACCACCGGUGGCGAAGGCGCUCGGCUGGAACGCGUCCGACGGUGAGGGACGAAGGCCAGGGGAGCAAACCGGAUUAGAUACCCGGGUAGUCCUGGCUGUAAACGAUGCGGACUUUGUGUCGGACAAGCUAUGAGCUUGUCCGGUGCCGGAGGGAAACCGUUAAGUCCGCCGCCUGGGGAGUACGGCCGCAAGGCUGAAACUUAAAGGAAUUGGCGGG